CCUACGGGUGGCAGCAGUGGGGAAUAUUGGACAAUGGGCGAAAGCCUGAUCCAGCCAUGCCGCGGGUGUGAAGAAGGCCUUCGGGUUGUAAAGCACUUUCAGUGGGGAAGAAAGCCUUGGGGCUAAUACCCUCGAGGAAGGACAUCACCCACAGAAGAAGCACCGGCUAACUCCGUGCCAGCAGCCGCGGUAAUACGGAGGGUGCGAGCGUUAAUCGGAAUUACUGGGCGUAAAGCGCGCGUAGGCGGUCUGAUAAGCCGGUUGUGAAAGCCCCGGGCUCAACCUGGGAACGGCAUCCGGAACUGUCAGGCUAGAGUGCAGGAGAGGAAGGUAGAAUUCCCGGUGUAGCGGUGAAAUGCGUAGAGAUCGGGAGGAAUACCAGUGGAGAAGGCGGCCUUCUGGACUGACACUGACGCUGAGGUGCGAAAGCGUGGGUAGCAAACAGGAUUAGAUACCCCGGUAGUC
rnacentral:rRNA from 1 species